rnacentral:tRNA from 1 species
CUGUGGUUAGCUCAAUGGGUAGAGCACCAGACAGUAAUCUGGCUGUAGCGGGUUCGAAUCCCGUACCACGUGCCG